AGAGUUUGAUCAGUGGCUCGAGGACGAACGCUGGCGGCGUGCUUAACACAUGCAAGUCGAACGGUGAACCAGAGCUUGCUCUGGGGAUCAGUGGCGAACGGGUGAGUAACACGUGGGCAACCUGCCCAGACUCUGGGAUAACCUCGGGAAACCGAUGCUAAUACCGGAUACGACCACUUCGGACAUCCGACGGUGGUGGAAAGUUUUUCGGUCUGGGAUGGGCCCGCGGCCUAUCAGCUAGUUGGUGGGGUAAUGGCCUACCAAGGCGACGACGGGUAGCCGGCCUGAGAGGGCGACCGGCCACACUGGAACUGAGACACGGUCCAGACUCCUACGGGAGGCAGCAGUGGGGAAUAUUGCACAAUGGGCGAAAGCCUGAUGCAGCGACGCCGCGUGAGGGACGACGGCCUUCGGGUUGUAAACCUCUUUCAGCAGGGACGAAGCGAAAGUGACUGUACCUGCAGAAGAAGCACCGGCUAACUACGUG
rnacentral:rRNA from 1 species